rnacentral:rRNA from 1 species
GGCCUUUCGGGGCAUGUGCACACCUGGCUCAUCCACUCUUCAACCUCUGUGCACUUGUUGUAGGUCGGUAGAAGAGCGAGCAUCUAAUGCUUGCUUGGAAGCCUUCCUAUGUUUUACUACAAACGCUUCAGUUUAAGAAUGUUUACCUGCGUAUAACGCAUUUAUAUACAACUUUCAGCAACGGAUCUCUUGGCUCUCGCAUCGAUGAAGAACGCAGCGAAAUGCGAUAAGUAAUGUGAAUUGCAGAAUUCAGUGAAUCAUCGAAUCUUUGAACGCACCUUGCGCUCCCUGGUAUUCCGGGGAGCAUGCCUGUUUGAGUGUCAUGGUAUUCUCAACCUUCAUAACUUUUGUUAUCGAAGGCUUGGACUUGGAGGUUGUGCUGGCUUCUAGUUAAGUCGGCUCCUCUUAAAUGUAUUAGCGUGAGUGUAACGGAUCGCUUCGGUGUGAUAAUUAUCUGCGCCGUGGUCGUGAAGUAACAUAAGCUUGCGCUUCUAACCGUCCUUCAGUUGGACAAUUACUUUGACAUCUGACCUCAAAUCAGGUAGGACUACCCGCUGAACUUAAGCAUAUCAAUAAGCGGAGGAA